GAAUAUUGGACAAUGGGCGAAAGCCUGAUCCAGCCAUGCCGCGUGUGUGAAGAAGGUCUUCGGAUUGUAAAGCACUUUAAGUUGGGAGGAAGGGUUGUAGAUUAAUACUCUGCAAUUUUGACGUUACCGACAGAAUAAGCACCGGCUAACUUCGUGCCAGCAGCCGCGGUAAUACGAAGGGUGCAAGCGUUAAUCGGAAAUACUGGGCGUAAAGCGCGCGUAGGUGGUUUGUCAAGUUGGAAGUGAAAGCCCCGGGCUCAACCUGGGAACUGCAUUCGAUACUGGUUGGCUAGAGUAUGGGAGAGGAUGGUAGAAUUCCAGGUGUAGCGGUGAAAUGCGUAGAGAUCUGGAGGAAUACCGAUGGCGAAGGCAGCCAUCUGGCCUAAUACUGACACUGAGGUGCGAAAGCAUGGGGAGCAAACA
rnacentral:rRNA from 1 species